AAGAAAUCGAACAAAUAACUUAAUGUACACACAUCCCAUUUAUUUCUGCGCCAGAAACUAAAGUUACCUGAUUGAGAUUAAUGUCAGAACUUCCUCUGUUUUGUGCAACCAAGGUUUGAUCUUUUUUGGUCUAAGCACUGCCUUAUUAGUAGUUUGAGAACUUGUAUGGUGCAGCAGGAAGCUACCAGAGGCAAAAUGUACACUUGCUGUUAAGACAAAGGUUAGAAUCAGGCAAAACAGUACCUGCUGAUAAUGAUAUGGAUGCCCACUGGACAUAGGCAGCAUCAGGUGGCUUACUUCAUGUGAUGAUUUGUGUCCUGCCUGAUGUGAUGCCUGCAUGUGUUUGAGACAUAAGACUCUAACAUAAAGCUACAUCAAGAUUUGGAAAGUUUUAAGAAAAUCAAAUGAUUUCCCCCCCCCAUUUUGAAUAAACCAUUGGCUUAUUUCUUCAGACUGUGUGAUAAAAAAUAGGCAUACAGGAAAUGAAUCUGAUCAAUGAGGGAAGAACAAUUGUUUUUACCAGAUCACUUUUCUGAACAUGGCUGCAUUCCAAUCCCUUUCCAAAGACUGAACUCAUAUAUCCACUGUGGAAAAGAAAUGUUCUUAUUCAUGAGUGUGAGGAUUCAUACUUACCAUGCUGCAGUUUUGCCAGAGGACUGGUGAUUGUCAUACAGCAAGCAGUUCAAACCAGGAAUCCCCCUGGGCUGCUCACCAAUUCCCAUGAAUAUCUCAGCACCUGGUCAGAUCCAACAUCCAAACAGACAAAGCAAAACAAUGCAGAAUGUUGUAGCAGGAAUGAUAAGUGUGACAGUGGAUGUGUGAAAUCCAUAAAAAUGCCAAAUGAGUGGCUGUGCUGGGAGGGAAUGGAUGAAGCAGUAGCAGGGUGGAAAAGUGAACUGAGAUUAGAGUCCAAGGCCAAUUGCACAGGAAGGAUGGAGAGGGGUGAGGGGGAGUUCAGAGGGCAGACAGGCAGUGUGAAGGAAAGAACAACUUCCAGAUGUAGAAAAUUGCAGGGAGGAGACCAAAAGGAA
rnacentral:lncRNA from 1 species